AACGAACGCUGGCGGCAGGCUUAACACAUGCAAGUCGAGCGCCCCGCAAGAGGAGCGGCAGACGGGUGAGUAACGCGUGGGAACGUACCCUUUGCUACGGAAUAGCUCCGGGAAACUGGAAUUAAUACCGUAUGUGCCCUACGGGGGAAAGAUUUAUCGGCAAAGGAUCGGCCCGCGUUGGAUUAGCUAGUUGGUGGGGUAAUGGCCUACCAAGGCGACGAUCCAUAGCGGGUCUGAGAGGAUGAUCAGCCACAUUGGGACUGAAACACGGCCCAAACUCCUCCGGGAGGCAGCAGUGGGGAAUAUUGGACAAUGGGCGCAAGCCUGAUCCAGCCAUGCCGCGUGAGUGAUGAAGGCCUUAGGGUUGUAAAGCUCUUUCACCGGAGAAGAUAAUGACGGUAUCCGGAGAAGAAGCCCCGGCUAACUUCGUGCCAGCCGCCGCCGUAA
rnacentral:rRNA from 1 species